rnacentral:ribozyme from 1 species
GAACAAAACAAAUACAAAAGACAAAAAUUUCGAGUUAAUCGAAAAAAAGCCAACAACAAAUACAACUUAAUAUUAUUUUUUGUUGCAAAUUCGAUCUGUUUGGCGUUUGUUGUCGCCUUCCUUGUUCUUUCUGCUCUCCACCAUGAUUAUGAA